UGCAGUUAUAUCUGAUCAAAUGCGCAUUAUUAUUCUUUAGCUUGGGUUAAACUAAUUAAUUUUACUUGGCUGGAACAGCAGCUACGCUAAUUAUGUCUCUAUUUGUUUCUCUGUUUUGCCACAGAAUUUACAUCACGUGGUAACAAGGAUUUACACAAGCUCCAGUUUUGAUCCAGAACACCUGAGAAGAGAUGAUGCCAGCCCCUCAGAGGACCUCAGAUGAUGCUAACCCAGAGACAACAUACAGAACUACCAACUUUUGCUAUAAGUUUGAUUACAUAAUUGCUGUUAAUAGUGUUAAUCGUCUGUUUGUUUAUGUCUUUUAUUGAUUUAUCUGAACAUUUCUGCCGUAUGCACAUAAACUGACAGUCACCACUGAUAAGCUACUACUAAAUAUUGUAGAAACUUAAUUUUCUGUAAAGUUGCUUUGCAAUGAUCUGUAUCAUAAAAAGCACUAUACAAAUAAACUUGAAUUGAAUUGAAUUGAACUUUGAGAAGGUUUUAAACAACAGUGUGUCUGCCACUUGGAUGUACAGUCCAUUGUAUUACUCCAGUGAGGGUUUCGCUUUCAGGCUCUCUUAAAAGUGUAUGAGAAUUACCUUUCAGUAUAUGUUGGUCUGGUAUCUGGUGCAUAUGAUGACCAGUUGCAGUGGCCUUGUCUAUGGAGAAAAAUAACCUUCCAAAUACUUGACCAGAAUCCACACAUACAGAAGCGCAUGUCCUCUGAGAAAAGCUUCACGACUGACCCUACUUUGGUUUCUUCCUAUGGCAGAAAUGACUGGGACAAUCCUCGAAAUAAUGGAACUCGAGUUGUCAUUGGCAAUGAGACCGUAUAUGUGGAUAUUUUUUGGGGCUAUCAAUAUGCCAUAAUGAAUGAAGAUCUCACUAAAAGAGAGUUUAUCAAGGGUGAUGACAUCAUAUUUCUCUUCAGCAUGCAAGGUAGGUUUUGUGAAGUAACUUCAGGAAACCAUGUUUUAAGUGCCAAGUUCACAGACUUUUUUGUUGUUGUUGUUUGUUUAUUGUAAUUGCUUUUAUUUAUUUAUUUUAUUUUGCCAACAUGUGCUAGAGGAACAUUGGUGACUGCUGCGUCUCGCUUAUUUUUCUGUAUUUCAGGCUUUAAUGCCAGACUGUAUCAACUUUAAAAAGCAAGCUCUUAAAAAUGGAUCUUGGAACUCUGCAAUCUUUUCAGUUUCUUUCGUGUUUCAAAAAGGGGUUCUGUGUGAACAGGUUUGAUGGCAAGAAUUCAAAUGUUGUUUAUUAAUCCUCAAUACUUUGUCAUAGAUAUCUCAGGGCUAUUUCAAUCUGAGUUUUUACCCUGCCCAAAAGUGACAAUAAUGGAUUUCAGCAUUUCUUCUCAUUCAACUGCCCAGCAGGGAUCAUGUGCUACAAGGUGAAUAUCCAUUUAAGCUCUGUUGUAUGCUUAUUCAAAAUACAGGGAAAAAAGUGUUUUUAAAGGUAAACCUACUGAAAAAUGUAACACUAUUAUUAAGAAAUAAGAGAAUCUGCUAUAUUGGCUAAAUAUAAUCAUGACUAAAGUCCAUUGUAAAGGGGGUCACAUGAUGUUGCUAAAAAGAAAAAUAUUUUGUGUAAUAAAAUGUGUUAAUGUGGUUAAAGGUUAAAAAAA
ensembl:lncRNA